AUACUUACCUGGCAGGGGAGAUACCAUGAUCACGAAGGUGAUUUUUCCAGGGCAAGCCUCUCCAUUGCACUCCAGAUGUGCUGACCCCUGCGAUAUCCUGAAAUGCAGGAAACUUGACUGCAUAAUUUGUGGUAGUGAGGGACUGAAUUCACACUCUCCCUUG
ensembl:snRNA U1 U1 spliceosomal RNA